AUUGAACGCUGGCGGCAGGCUUAACACAUGCAAGUCGAGCGAGCGGCGGACGGGUGAGUAAUGUCUGGGAAACUGCCUGAUGGAGGGGGAUAACUACUGGAAACGGUAGCUAAUACCGCAUACCAUCAGAUGUGCCCAGAUGGGAUUAGCUAGUAGGUGGGGUAAGGGCUCACCUAGGCGACGAUCCCUAGCUGGUCUGAGAGGAUGAACAGCCAGACUGGAACUGAGACACGGUCCAGACGCCUACGGGAGGCAGCAGUGGGGAAUAUUGCACAAUGGGCGCAAGCCUGAUGCAGCCAUGCCGCGUGUGUGAAGAAGGCCUGCGGGUUGUAAAGUACGUUCAGCGAGGAGGCGUUACCCGCAGAAGAAGCACCGGCUAACUCCGUGCCAGCAGCCGCGGUAAUUC
rnacentral:rRNA from 1 species